rnacentral:sRNA from 1 species
GAUUAAUUGAUAAAUCAUAAAAAAAAUUCAAAGUAUUGCUUAAUAGUUGGUGAUAUUUGGUGAUUUAUUUUUUUUUUACUAUAUUGAUCUAUUAAUCCAAGUUUUAUGUACAAUGUACAUUGUUUUUUUUUUUAUUUUAUGUAAAGAGAGUCAGAUUUUGAUUUUAAUUGCAGUGAUUUUUGUUUGAUAUAAUUUUUUUUGGUGAUUAAUUAAUUAAUCUGUUUUUGGCAAUGUUAUGACAAUAACACAAUAUGUGUUCAUUAAUUGCUACUUCACAUAUUUAUUAUAGUGUCCCCAAUGUUGUUUUUGUUUUUAAUAAAAAAUAUUUUAUAUU